GACGAACGCGGCGGCGUGCUUAACACAUGCAAGUCGAACGAAGAGCGAUGGAAGCUUGCUUCUAUCAAUCUUAGUGGCGAACGGGUGAGUAACGCGUAAUCAACCUGCCCUUCAGAGGGGGACAACAGUUGGAAACGACUGCUAAUACCGCAUACGAUCUAACCUCGGCAUCGAGGAAAGAUGAAAGGUGGCCUCUAUGUAUAAGCUAUCACUGAAGGAGGGGAUUGCGUCUAAUUAGCUAGUUGGAGGGGUAACGGCCCACCAAGGCGAUGAUCAGUAGCCGGUCUGAGAGGAUGAACGGCCACAUUGGGACUGAGACACGGCCCAGACUCCUACGGGAGGCAGCAGUGGGGAAUCUUCCGCAAUGGACGAAAGUCUGACGGAGCAACGCCGCGUGAGUGAUGACGGCCUUCGGGUUGUAAAGCUCUGUUAAUCGGGACGAAAGGCCUUCUUGCGAAUAGUUAGAAGGAAUG
rnacentral:rRNA from 1 species